AAACCAGCACCUCAAGUGGUCAGGAGGAUUAUUGGGCCUAAAGCAUCCGUAGCCUGCUCUAUAAGUUUCCGGUUAAAUCCAUUUGCUCAACAAAUGGGCUGCCGGAAAUACUGCAGAGCUAGGGAGUGGGAGAGGUAGACGGUACUCGGGAGGAAGUGGUAAAAUGCUUUGAUCUCUCGAUGACCACCUGUGGCGAAGGCGGUCUACCAGAACACGUCCGACGGUGAGGGAUGAAAGCUGGGGGAGCAAACCGGAUUAGAAACCCCAGUAGUCC
rnacentral:rRNA from 1 species